GGUGAGAUGUCCGAGUGGCUGAAGGAGCACGCCUGGAAAGCGUGUAUACGGCAAUCCCGUAUCGGGGGUUCGAAUCCCCCUCUCACCGCCA
rnacentral:tRNA from 1 species